rnacentral:rRNA from 1 species
ACAAGGUCUCCGUUGGUGAACCAGCGGAGGGAUCAUUACCGAGUUUACAACUCCCAAACCCUUAUGUGAACCGUACCUAUCGUUGCUUCGGCGGGAACGCCCCGGCGCCCUGCGCCCGGAUCCAGGCGCCCGCCGGAGACCCCAAACUCUUGUGUUUUUUUCAGUAUUCUCUGAGUGGCAAACGCAAAAAUAAAUCAAAACUUUUAACAACGGAUCUCUUGGCUCUGGCAUCGAUGAAGAACGCAGCGAAAUGCGAUAAGUAAUGUGAAUUGCAGAAUUCAGUGAAUCAUCGAAUCUUUGAACGCACAUUGCGCCCGUUAGCAUUCUAGCGGGCAUGCCUGUCCGAGCGUCAUUUCAACCCUCAGGGUCCCCGUUCCGGCGGGGAACCUGGUGUUGGGGAUCGGCCCGCCCCGCGCGGCGCCGUCCCCCAAAUUCAGUGGCGGUCUCGCUGCAGCCUCCCCUGCGUAGUAGUUACAACCUCGCAUCGGAGCUCAGCGCGGCCACGCCGUAAAACCCCCGACUUUCUGAACGUUGACCUCGGAUCAGGUAGGAAUACCCGCUGAACUUAAGCAU